rnacentral:rRNA from 1 species
ACGCUCGACACCUACGGGAUGCAGCAGUGGGGAAUAUUGCACAAUGGGGGAAACCCUGAUGCAGCGACGCCGCGUGAGCGAAGAGGUAUUUCGGUAUGUAAAGCUCUAUCAGCAGGGAAGAAAAUGACGGUACCUGACUAAGAAGCCCCGGCUAACUACGUGCCGCAGCCGCGGUAAUCUGAGCGGGCGUGGCAAGGC